rnacentral:rRNA from 1 species
GCAGGGGAGAGUUUGAUCCUGGCUCAGAUUGAACGCUGGCGGCAGGCCUAACACAUGCAAGUCGAGCGGAUGAAGGGAGCUUGCUCCUGGAUUCAGCGGCGGACGGGUGAGUAAUGCCUAGGAAUCUGCCUGGUAGUGGGGGAUAACGUUCGGAAACGGGCGCUAAUACCGCAUACGUCCUGAGGGAGAAAGUGGGGGAUCUUCGGACCUCACGCUAUCAGAUGAGCCUAGGUCGGAUUAGCUAGUUGGUGGGGUAAAGGCUCACCAAGGCGACGAUCCGUAACUGGUCUGAGAGGAUGAUCAGUCACACUGGAACUGAGACACGGUCCAGACUCCUACGGGAGGCAGCAGUGGGGAAUAUUGGACAAUGGGCGAAAGCCUGAUCCAGCCAUGCCGCGUGUGUGAAGAAGGUC